GUCCCUCGGGACUAUGAACAUAAACGCGCUCGUAAUAAGCGGAUCGGACCCGGGGGCGGUACCCGGCGACUCCACCAAACAUCCUUCAUUUGGGGAUCAUGGGGUCGAAACAGGAUCGACGAACGUCUAAAGGGGUUUGCUUUGUUUCGGCUGUCUGCCACCGUUAUCGGCGAAACAUGUACAAUUGCAAAUGACAAUCGUGCUCCAGUAGCGAUGGCCGCGUAAGCGGUUUCAGCCACUGAAACUUAACUCCCUGGGUUUAGCGACCUAGGGCGGGGUUCGCAGGCACCUGGCAACAGAAGCCUGCACU
rnacentral:tmRNA from 1 species